UCCCCAGUUCCACAAAAAAAAAAAAAAAAAAAAUCCAGUCUUGAACUUCUCUGGAAAAAAAAAUUGCAACUCUAGUCUGUGAAUUUGGCCAAGACAAUCUUCUUUAGUAUACAAAUUACCCAAUCACAUACUUCCUACUGAAGCAAACAGGAAGGAGUUCCUUUUUCGUUCUGCAACUCCACUCAUCCUCACCAACUCUGUAACAGCAACCAGGAGAGUUGUUUCAAAAAUACUGCUCCAACUAUCAUCAUUAGAAUACUGAGACUGUUACUAUGAUGACAGAAUAUGAGAA